rnacentral:tmRNA from 1 species
GGGGGCGUAAAGGUUUCGACGGGGAUUUUGAAGUAUUCGGAGCGAGCCGCAGUGGGUACUGCGUAAAAAACCCAACCUUAAAUUAAACGCUAACAAAAAUUUAGCUUACGCUGCCUAAAUAAAGGCGGCUGUCCUCUCGCCCUCACCGCAAGGGCGAGUCGGGGCAUCAUCUGACGCGGUGCACAUGAACCCCAAAAGCUUUGAUGGGGUCACGACUUUAUGAAGCUACCGGUCGUUAAAGCUUGUCUGUGGACUUUAACGACGGGGACUCCUGACCACUGACUACGCUCGUAGCGCCGGGUAUGAAUAGGUUUUCGGACAGGGGUUCAAUUCCCCUCGCCUCCACCA